GAUGAACGCUGGCGGCGUGCCUAAUACAUGCAAGUCGAGCGAACAGACGAGGAGCUUGUUCCUCUGACGUUAGCGGCGGACGGGUGAGUAACACGUGGAUAACCUACCUAUAAGACUGGGAUAACUUCGGGAAACCGGAGCUAAUACCGGAUAAUAUAUUGAACCGCAUGGUUCAAUAGUGAAAGACGGUUUUGCUGUCACUUAUAGAUGGAUCCGCGCCGCAUUAGCUAGUUGGUAAGGUAACGGCUUACCAAGGCAACGAUGCGUAGCCGACCUGAGAGGGUGAUCGGCCACACUGGAACUGAGACACGGUCCAGACUCCUACGGGAGGCAGCAGUAGGGAAUCUUCCGCAGUGGGCGAAAGCCUGACGGAGCAACGCCGCGUGAGUGAUGAAGGUCUUCGGAUCGUAAAACUCUGUUAUUAGGGAAGAACAAAUGUGUAAGUAACUAUGCACGUCUUGACGGUACCUAAUCAGAAAGCCACGGCUAACUACGU
rnacentral:rRNA from 1 species